AGCAGCCGCGGUAAUUCCAGCUCCAAUAGCGUAUAUUAAAGUUGUUGCAGUUAAAAAGCUCGUAGUUGAACUUCAGGCCUGUCCAGAUGGUCCGCCUUAAUUGGUGUGUACUGUCCUUGGGUGGGUCCUACCUUCUGGCGAAGCGGCAUGGCCUUAAUUGGUUGUGUCGGGGAAGCAGGACUUUUACUGUGAAAAAAUUAGAGUGUUCAAAGCAGGCAUAUAUGCUCGAAUACAUUAGCAUGGAAUAAUGGAAUAGGACGAUGGUUCUAUUUUGUUGGUUCUAGGACCGUUGUAAUGAUUAAUAGGGAUAGUUGGGGGCAUUAGUAUUCAAUUGUCAGAGGUGAAAUUCUUGGAUUUAUUGAAGACUAACUACUGCGAAAGCAUUUGCCAAGGAUGUUUUCAUUAAUCAAGAACGAAAGUUAGGGGAUCGAAGACGAUCAGAUACCGUCGUAGUCUUAACCAUAAACUAUGCCGACUAGGAAUCGGGCGAUGUUAACAAAAUGACUCGCUCGGCACCUCAUG
rnacentral:rRNA from 1 species